CAACCCUCAAGCCUAGCUUGGUAUUGGGUGUCACCAGCCAGGUGCUCCCUAAAAUCAGUGGCGGUGCCAUUUGGCCUCAAGCGUAGUAAUACUUCUCGCUUUAGAGGUUAGGGUGCGCGCUUGCCAAAACCACUAUUUUUCAAA
rnacentral:misc_RNA from 2 species